UACGGGGGGGGCAAGCGUUGUUCGGAAUUACUGGGCGUAAAGGGCUCGUAGGCGGCCAACUAAGUCAGACGUGAAAUCCCUCGGCUUAACCGGGGAACUGCAUCUGAUACUGGAUGGCUUGAGAUUGGGAGAGGGAUGCGGAAUUCCAGGUGUAGCGGUGAAAUGCGCAGAUAUCAGGAGGAACACCGGUGGCGAAGGCGGUUCUCUGGGCAUGACCUGACGCUGAGGAGCGAAAGUGUGGGGAGCGAACAGG
rnacentral:rRNA from 1 species